rnacentral:rRNA from 1 species
UACAGAGGUGGCAAGCGUUGUUCGGAAUUACUGGGCGUAAAGGGCGCGUAGGCGGCCAUCUAAGUCAGACGUGAAAUCCCCCGGCUUAACCUGGGAACUGCGUCUGAUACUGGACGGCUGGAGUUUGGGAGAGGGAUGUAGAAUUCCAGGUGUAGCGGUGAAAUGCGUAGAUAUCUGGAGGAACACCGGUGGCGAAGGCGGCAUCCUGGACCGGCAUUGACGCUGAGGCGCGAAAGCCAGGGGAGCAAACGGG